GGUGUUCGGUGCCCCGGCCCCCGUCUGCCUGCUGUGACCGGUUUGAAGAAGACGUGGGAGCAGCGAUGGUGCUGGGUGCGCCCGGGCAGGGGAUGGGGAAGAACUGUGCCUCUGCCCUGCCUGACAUCCUAACCUUGUCCCUUAUCCCACGGCACAAAGAAAUCUGUCAGACCUGAACUGAGCCUACUGAAGGCCAUAAUGACCUGUGUGCUUCUGUAUGGUGGUUCCAGUGAUCGUACAGAAAAAAGCUCCCCCGAAGCAUAGUACUCUGUGCCUUCGUAGACACAGCAUUAGUUACAAAGAAAAGAGCAGUGGAUGAGAAAAGCUACCUGGAUCAAAGAACAGAUUGGAUACUUCACGUGUGUUCUGUGGGUUAUUGCAGCAGCAGCAGCAGGCUGUGGUCUUCUGAGCAGGGCAGCAGUGAGGCGUGGCAGAGUCGUACAUGGCCUUAAUGAUGAAAGCAGAACCAUGUGCUUUGCUCUGAGGCCACUGGUGAAGUACAUUAAAAAUGAGGUAAAAGAGUAACAUUUUGCAAAAAUAAGGCUACUCCUGUGCAGAAGAUAUGACCUUCCAAACACAAGAGAGCUCAUAUGGGACGAGCUCAUGUCAGCGGAGGUUUCAGCAAGGAGUGCUGUGAGGCUGCCCCAUGGUCAGAGUGCAGCAGGCACAUAGCAGUCUCCAGGAGCCUCAAACUGUGUGUUGUGGGCGUGCUCUCAAGGAGCUCUUCUCCCAGUCUGCACGUCUGGGAUUGCCCCAACUCACCUUGCACUUCACCUUGUUGAACCUCACUAGGCACUUGUGGGUCCUCUUUUCUAGCCUGUCUAGGUUCCUCUGGAUGACAUCCCUUCCUUCUUUGAAGUAAAGAAGUAAAGAACCCCGUCCUCUGUGUGCCACAGCUCAGCUUUCCCUUUUGUUGCCUUUUAAUGUCUGGCAGCAGUUACCUCAGCACCAUGUCUGCACAGCACAGCACAGCAGCGUGUCAGGACACUACACUAGUUCAUGGUACCUGGAAGCAGUAGAGUCAGAUUGUUAUAACAGACCACGAGACUAAUUAACCCUGCUGAGAUACAUGCAACAUCAACCUGCAGCAUAGGCUGGUUCUUCCUCAUCCCUCCUCGCAGUCCCAAGAGAGGAUCAUGUUCAGUGAGGAACCUGCAGAAACAGCACAGGAUUGAUCAUGGAGGCAGCAAAAGGAUUCUGAGUUGAGCAUGUGGGGCUAAUACAGCAAUGGGCAAAUGACAGGACAAUGUGGAACAUUUCAUUCAGCUCAUAACACUUUGACUAAAUUAUUGUCUUAUCUAUGACAAAUUACUUCAGGUUAGAGCCAGAAAAGGCCUUGGCUGGUUUGUGGUUUCUCAGGCAGAGAUAUGACAUACCUGUUCCAUGUAAAGCAGGAGAUGAAUGUCCAUUUUGGCUCAGAUCUCAUGGAUUCCUUAUAACUGCAGUUUAGGAUGCAUCCUCUGCUAUGUGAAGGACAGGUCCAAGAUUUCCAGGUGCACAGCAGCUGCUGCUUGAACUGGUAGGUUACGCCUCUCUAAAUCUUCAACUAAUGUGGAAAAAAAAUUAAAAAUUUCUGGUGAAAGUCUUAGGCUAAGCAAGAGAAAUUGUCUUGAAAAGCUUAGAUUUAACAUUGUCCUAGGCUUCAAAUUUAACUUCUAGAGUCUCCAUUUUUAUAUAUAAUU